GCGGGCGUGGCGGAAUCGGUAGACGCUGCGGACUUAAAAUCCGUUUCCCUUUUGGGAGUGGGGGUUCAAGUCCCCCCGCCCGCACCA
rnacentral:tRNA from 2 species